rnacentral:rRNA from 1 species
UACAGAGGGUGCAAGCGUUAAUCGGAAUUACUGGGCGUAAAGCGCACGUAGGCGGUUUUUUAAGUCAGAUGUGAAAUCCCCGGGCUCAACCUGGGAACUGCAUCCAAAACUGCUGAGCUAGAGUACGGUAGAGGGUGGUGGAAUUUCCUGUGUAGCGGUGAAAUGCGUAGAUAUAGGAAGGAACACCAGUGGCGAAGGCGACCACCUGGACUGAUACUGACACUGAGGUGCGAAAGCGUGGGGAGCAAACAGG